AAUAAGAUGCCUGAAUAAAGGGUUAUUUUGAUAGAAUAAAUUAAGUAUUUUUAUACUCUUAUUA
rnacentral:tRNA from 1 species